rnacentral:rRNA from 1 species
GAACGAACGCUGGCGGCGUGGAUAAGACAUGCAAGUCGAACGGGAUACCUUUGUAGCAAUACGAAGGGGUGUUCAGUGGCGUAAGGGUGCGUAACACGUGGGCAAUCUGCCGAGAUGUGGGGAUAGCUCGCCGAAAGGCGAAUUAAUACCGCAUGUGACCAGAGGCGACAUCGCUUCGACGUCAAAGCCGGGCAACCUGGCGCAUCUUGAGGAGCCCGCGGCCUAUCAGCUAGUUGGCGAGGUAAUGGCUCACCAAGGCUUUGACGGGUAGCUGGUCUAAGAGGACGACCAGUCACACUGGAACUGAGACACGGUCCAGACACCUACGGGUGGCAGCAGUCGAGAAUUUUUCUCAAUGGGGAAACCCUGAAGGAGCGACGCCGCGUGGAGGAUGAAGGUCUUCGGAUUGUAAACUCCUGUCAUUUGAGAACAA